rnacentral:rRNA from 1 species
CGGGCGGACGGGUGAGUAACGCGUGGGUAACCUGCCUCAUACAGGGGAGUAACAGUUAGAAAUGGCUGCUAAUACCGCAUAAGACCACAGUACUGCAUGGUACAGUGGUAAAAACUCCGGUGGUAUGAGAUGGACCCGCGUCUGGAUUAGGUAGUUGGUGAGGUAACGGCCCACCAAGCCGACGAUCAGUAGCCGACCUGAGAGGGUGACCGGCCACAUUGGGACUGAGACACGGCCCAG